rnacentral:lncRNA from 1 species
GGGUGGCCUGUAAGAGGACACUUAGGGUUUGUCCCUAAGUGACACCAGACAAGAGGAGGAGUCUAGGACCUGUCUUUCAGAGGGAUCCAAAAGCUGUGGUCCAGGAAACCCAAAAUUGUUCCUUUGUAACUUCCACUGGGGACUGCAGAAGGGUCAGCAGCAAAAUCUGAAAGUGAGCAGAGCCACGGGGGCAGUGGGAAUCGGAGACUUGGGGCCACUUUCAUGGCUUCCGAGGCGAUCGAGCAACGUCAGUCUUCAGCUGCUAAGCCGAGAAGAUCUGGGAAGGAGUCAGUCAGAGAGCCUUGGGCCAGAGUUCCAGGGGCUCUGGGAGUGGCUGCCAGGUGAGUUGAACAGUCCGAUUUCCAGUGGGGUCCCCCACAGAUGGGACACGGCUUAGGAGGAAUCCCGGGCUGCGGGCAUUCCUUGGCCUGGUGGCCAGAUUUCUGGCACUUGUAGCAAGCGCCUGGGGGAGGCAGUUCUGGAGGAAUGCCUGGCCACUGCGGUUUAGGCGUUUGGAAGUUCUUGUGUGCUGGAGAUGUGGCUGGGGUUUGUCUCACAGUGGAGGCAAGGAAUUGCAACUCAGAAAUAUGUUGCUAGUUGGCUGCCUAUACUCUAUUAUUGUACACCUUGAAGGUGAGGUUAAUUAAGUCCUGUUGUGGGGUUUGAGGGCCGGAAUUUAAUUUUUGGAGUUUUAUUUAAUGUUGGGAGCAGAUUGGGUAAUAAAAUGUAUAUUGAGAAUAAGACGGCCUUUUGACCUUUUAGGGUCUAGGGCUGUAAAACGUCUCAGGGUUGCUGCCAAACGAGUCAGGAACUGGGCUGGAUUUUUAUAUUUGAUGAGAAAGAGCCUAAACGCUAUCUGAUCUGGAAUAAAGAAAAAGGAGCAUUGACCUUGACUAUGACUUUAGCUCCAGCCACCUUUUUAAGAGUAAAUUGCUGGGCAGGUGGGGGAGGGCUAGUCAUGGAACGAAACUGUAAGCUGGACCAGGUGUGAGGAGGGGAGGUGAUAAAAGGAUUAUAGGGUGGAGGAGCAGAGGCUGAGGAAGAAUUGGGACCUAGCUCGGCCUGGUGAGGAGGGGAGAGGUCAGAUAGGUCUGUAGAAAAUGAAGAUUAGAAAGACUCAGUGAUGCUUGGGGUUGGGACUGAGGGGACAGGUGGGAGGGAAAGAAGGAAGAUUUGGGACGAGUUGCAUUGGGAACAGAGGCUAGGGAGUGACUGAUGUGUAAAAGAAUGCCUGGAUGUCAGGCACCUCAGACCAUUUGCCCAUUUUACGACAAGAAUUAUUUAAAUCUUGUAGGAUGGAAAAAAUGGAAAUGCCGUUUUCUGGCUAUUUGGAACUACUGUCGAGUUUGUAUUGGGGUCAAGCGGCAUUGCAGAAGAAAAUAAGGCAUUUAGGUUUUAGGUCAGGUGUGAGUUGAAGAGGUUUUAAGUUCUUGAGAACACAGGCUAAGGGAGAAGAAGGAGGAAUGGAGGGUGGAAAUUUGCCCAUAGUGAAGGAAGCAAGCCCAGAGAAAAGAGAGAGUAGAGACACGGAGGGAAGGGGUUCGGGGGUUCUUACCCUCCAGAAAAAUGGGAAAGGGGUUGGGGUGUGGAAAUAAGGGGUCAGGGCACAGAGAUAAGAGGUGGGGCAUGGAAAUAAGGGAUCAGGGCAAAGAGAUAAGAGGUCGGGGCAUGGAAAUAAGGGAUCAGGGUGCAGAGUUAAGAGGUUGGGGCAUGGAAAUAAGGGAUUGGGGCACAGAGAUAAGAGGUCAGGGUGUGGAAAUAAGGGAUUGGGGGUUCCUGACCCCUAGAAAAGUGGGACUUGCCGCUAAGGUUAAAGGAGAAGAGGUUGAGGGGUUCUUGCCCCUCCCCCAGAAAAGCAGAGAAGGGGUAGAGACAAGGAGAGAAGGGGUUGGGGUACUUGCCCUUCCCCCAGAAAAGCAGGACUUGCCACUAAGGGUGAAGGACCAAGGCAGGCGUCCCUGCAUGGUCUGACACCUCUGAAACGUGGGUGAAUAAUCAGAGAGGCAUCCCUGCAAUGAUUAAACACCAAGGGAAGGCUGCCUUCCCAGUCCGUGACCGGCGCCGGAGUUUUGGGUCCAUGGAUAAAACGUGUCUCCUUUGUCUCUACCAGAAAAUGAAAGGAAUUGAAAUUAAGAGAAGGCAGAGAUUGAAGUGUGGCGCCAAGAUUGAAAGGAGAAAGAGGUUGAGGGAUAGUGAGGGAGGUUGGAGAAGAGAGUAAAAAGAGGCCGCUUACUGGAUUUGAAAUUGGUGAGAUGUUUCUUGGGCUGGUCGGUCUGAGGACCUGAGGUCGUAGGUGGGUCUUUCUCAACAGAGCAAAGAGCAGGAGGACAGGGGAUUGAUCUCCCACAAGAGGUCCCCCGAUCCGAGUCACGGUACCAAAUUUCAUGCGUGUCCGUGUGAAGAGACCACCAAACAGGCUUUGUGUGAGCAAUAAAGAUAUUAAUCACCUGGGUGCAGGCG